rnacentral:ncRNA from 1 species
UUCGGGGGAGCUUUUGCUGAGAGUAGGUUUGACCUUGACCCUUUGACCUGAUGCGGGUAAUGCCGCCGUAGGGAAAUG